UUUAUGGAGAGUUUGAUCCUGGCUCAGGAUGAACGCUGGCGGCGUGCCUAAUACAUGCAAGUCGAGCGAACGGACGAGAAGCUUGCUUCUCUGAUGUUAGCGGCGGACGGGUGAGUAACACGUGGAUAACCUACCUAUAAGACUGGGAUAACUUCGGGAAACCGUAGCUAAUACCGGAUAAUAUUUUGAACCGCAUGGUUCAAAAGUGAAAGACGGUCUUGCUGUCACUUAUAGAUGGAUCCGCG
rnacentral:rRNA from 1 species